rnacentral:rRNA from 1 species
UACGGGGGGGGGUAAGCGUUGUUCGGAAUUACUGGGCGUAAAGGGCUCGUAGGCGGCCAACUAAGUCAGACGUGAAAUCCCUCAGCUUAACUGGGGAACUGCGUCUGAUACUGGAUGGCUUGGAUUUGGGGAGAGGAAUGCGGAAUUCCAGGUGUAGCGGUGAAAUGCGUAGAUAUCUGGAGGAACACCGGUGGCGAAGGCGGCAUUCUGGACCAAUAUUGACGCUGAGGAGCGAAAGCCAGGGGAGCAAACAGG